ACCUACGGGACGCAGCAGUGGGGAAUAUUGGGCAAUGGGCGCAAGCCUGACCCAGCAACGCCGCGUGAAGGAAGAAGGCUUUCGGGUUGUAAACUUCUUUUGUCAGGGACGAAGCAAGUGACGGUACCUGACGAAUAAGCCACGGCUAACUACGUGCCAGCAGCCGCGGUAAUACGUAGGUGGCAAGCGUUAUCCGGAUUUAUUGGGUUUAAAGGGUGCGUAGGCGGGCUGUUAAGUCAGCGGUAAAAGCCCGGGGCUCAACCCCGGCGAGCCGUUGAAACUGGCUGUCUUGAGAUGUCGAGAGG
rnacentral:rRNA from 1 species